CCCUUAGAUGUUCUGGGCCGCACGCGCGCUACACUGAUGCAUUCAACGAGUCUACAACCUGGUCUGAUAGGGCUGGGUAAUCUUUUGAAUGUGCAUCGUGAUUGGGAUAGAUGAUUGCAAUUCUUCAUCUUCAACGAGGAAUGCCUAGUAAACGCAAGUCAUCAGCUUGCAUUGAUUACGUCCCUGCCCUUUGUACACACCGCCCGUCGCUCCUACCGAUUGAAUGAUCCGAUGAAUAUCAUGGAUUGAGGAUGCAAGUAGGUUCGCCUAUCUUCAUCUUCGAGAAGUGAAGUAAAUCUUAUCAUUUAGAGGAAGGAGAAGUCGUAACA
rnacentral:rRNA from 1 species